rnacentral:rRNA from 1 species
UAGCUUACCGUUUUUUAUGGUAAGUAAUUUCUGCCCAAUGAAAUUUAAAUGGCCGCGGUAUCUUGACCGUGCAAAGGUAGCAUAAUCAUUUGCCUUUUUAUUGGAGGCUAGAAUGAAGGAAAAAAUAAGAAUAUGACUGUCUCUAUUGCAAAAUAAAAAUUGCUGGUAGCGUGAAGAAGCGAAAGUAACAAAAAAAGACAAGAAGACCCUAUUAAGCUUUACUUUAAAAUUUUAUUUUUUAUCUUAAAAGAAUAAAAAAUAAAAUUAUGUUAGUUUGGUUGGGGUGACUAAAAAGGAAAAAAUCCUUUUUUUAGAAGAGUACUUUAAGUUUAAUAAAAGAUCCAAGCUUUUUGAUUAUUAGAAUAAGUUACUAUAGGGAUAACAGCGUAAUUUUUUCAGAGAGUUCUCAUUGACGAAAAAGAUUGCGACCUCGAUGUUGACUUGUUGUCUCCUUGUAAGGUGUAGAAGCUUUAAGGGUUAGUCUGUUCGACUAUUAAAACAAU